UACAGGAUUCUUAUACCACACCUGGACUGUUCAGGUUCCAGUUCACAUCUACGUCUCCUUGUCGUCAAUCAUCUGCAGGGAUGAACGAUUAGUCGGUGCUUGUGACCAAACGGUCUUUGAAGAUUUUCAGGAUUUAAUUGAUUUCGAUUUUGAAGAAUUGAGGAACAAGUAUCCCCCUACCUCUCAUUGAUUGUUUCAUGUUUAAUUUCUGGUAUCUCACCAAGCUGAAUAGAGCUCACGAUUCGCGGCAUUUACUCUCCACAUGUUUAUUUUCUUGACGGUUUUUGUGAUGAGUAUGUUGAGCGCAAAGUUGGCCCAUUUUGCAGAGAUGACGCAGUCGAUCAGGGUAGGGCUUUCGCAAAUGGCCUCAUGGGAUACAGUUCACCUGAUGACGAACUUUCAAUCGUCUCUGCCCAACAUGAGAUGAGCAACUCGUAGUUGAACCGUCACCUGCAAUCACCGACUCCGGUCCCGAAAGUCCUUAAGCACUCAGGUUACUGUAGUCUCCUUCAGCAGUUUCGAAUGCUUUAAUGUGAGUUUACAACGCGUCACCUUUUUAUAAAUCGGUUUGAGGUCUGCGUAAUCCCAAACUAUGAUGGGUGGGGAGAACCCAAGCUACAAGACCUGCUCGCUAGCAAUAUACUACCCGCUGGACGACGCCACCAGGCACGACAUUCGAUUGAUGUCCCUCACAGAGAUUUUAGCUUCAUUGAAUUUCCUUACCACUGCAAUUGGCCAUGAAUUUCAGAGCAGUAGAUUCGGGUUGAUGCAACGAUGUUUCUGUACUUACUCUAAGAAAGUUAGGAUAUCUUAACAUGAAAACUGUGAUUGUAGAAUGCUCGCGACAGAGAUGAUGAGUGAGCAUUUGUCUCGAAAGACGAUGGUUGUACCGCUAGGAUACGUGAUCAUCUUCUCGUGCAGGUGGAGGAAGAAUCCAAUACCUACCUUUCCACCAAAUCUAGUGCACGCUUGAAGUAGUGAAAUAAUUUUAGCAUUGUUGCCAUUUCGAGAAACGUUUGCUCCCGCUGCGGGCAGAGGUGUAGUUCUUUCAACAUGCAGCAUAACGAGCUCUUACACCAAUUGCUGAUCGAGUCUUCAAAGUAUGUGUUGGAAGGCUAACCGUGUUACAAUUAGUUUGACAUACGUGUACUCUGAAUAGUGACACCCCGUCGAGGAGUAACGACCUCUGUGGUUGUUAGAAAACGCUUCAGAAAUAAAGACAACUACAUAAAAAAGAGCUACAAGAGAGGAAGGAUUGUGCUCAAUAUAUUUUGCACAGAAACUAGGGCACUAUUAGACCCUCCCUCAAACAGCCUCACCACAAUGGCCAAAACUCAACAACUCUUGACACACGGUUUUGAGUCAAAAGAUUCAAAUAAAAUUUGAUUUAUUGGUGUU
rnacentral:lncRNA from 1 species